GAAAUGCGAUAAGUAAUGUGAAUUGCAGAAUUCAGUGAUUCAUCGAAUCUUUGAACGCACAUUGCGCCCCUUGGUAUUCCAUGGGGCAUGCCUGUUCGAGCGUCAUUUGUAUCCUCACGCUUUUCUUGGUGUUGGGCGUCUUGUCCUCUUCUGGAGGACUCGCCUCAAAACAAUUGGCAGCCGGCAUAUUGGUAUCGGAGCGCAGCACAGGUCGCACUUUGUUCCAUGAAAGUUGGCAUCCCUCACGACCAUUUUUUCACUCUUGCCCUCGGAUCAGGUAGGGAUACCCGCUGAACUUAA
rnacentral:misc_RNA from 1 species